AGCAAUUUGCACUUGCCAAAUCAACAACACAUUUACAGCUUGCUAGACCAUGACAUGAUCUAUGACCACGGUCGUGCAAAUCACAAUAGUCUACAUGUAAACUAUAGUCAUGAUCGUACUUCAUCGAGGUGACUCCUACAAUCAUAUCACGUCACCACUCUUGUCAGAGGGUAUGCCGUCAUCCACAGGGAGCAGUCCUCUAACUUCUUUUCAUAUUAGAUGGGGAGAAACAGAAAUCCCUCAAAUAUAAAAAAGCUAACGAAAUAUUUUAUGAACCAUGCAUGCCAAUACCGAUAUAUAUUUCUCAUGCUUAAAAAAUAACAUAAUGCUCGUUACUUCAUCAUUAUACAAUACAACAUGCAUCUUUUCAUAUUAGAUGGGGGAGAAACAGAAACCCCUCAAAUAUAAAAA
rnacentral:lncRNA from 1 species